rnacentral:rRNA from 1 species
UAGGGAAUAUUGCGCAAUGGGGGGAACCCUGACGCAGCAACGCCACGUGUGGGAAGAAGCAUUUCGGUGUGUAAACCACUGUCGGAAAGGAAUAACGGAAGACUUCGGUCUUUAUGAAUGUACUUUUAGAGGAAGCACCGGCAAACUUCGUGCCAGCAGCCGCGGUAAUACGAGGGGUGCAAGCGUUGUUCGGAAUCACUGGGCGUAAAGGGAGCGUAGGCGGAAGUGCAAGCAAUCUGUAUAAUCCUGGGGCCCAACCCCAGUUCUGCAGAUUGGACUGUAUUUCUUGAAUAGUUCAGAGGCAAGCGGAAUUUCUGGUGUAGCGGUGGAAUGCGUAGAGAUCAGAAAGAACACCAAUGGCGAAGGCAGCUUGCUGGGGACUUAUUGACGCUGAGGCUCGAAAGUGUGGGUAGCAAACAGG